rnacentral:tRNA from 3 species
GCCUUGCUAGCUCAGUUGGCUAGAGCGUUCGGCUUUUAACCGAAAUGUCGUGGGUUCGACCCCCACGCAGGGCG